rnacentral:rRNA from 1 species
UACAGAGGGGGCAAGCGUUGUUCGGAAUUACUGGGCGUAAAGGGCGCGUAGGCGGCCUUCUAAGUCGAACGUGAAAUCCCCGGGCUCAACCCGGGAACUGCGUCCGAUACUGGAAGGCUUGAAUCCGGGAGAGGGAUGCGGAAUUCCAGGUGUAGCGGUGAAAUGCGUAGAUAUCUGGAGGAACACCGGUGGCGAAGGCGGCAUCCUGGACCGGUAUUGACGCUGAGGCGCGAAAGCUAGGGGAGCAAACAG